UCGCACAGCAAUCUUAUUCGGAGCCACCAAUAACCCUCUAUGUAGACGAGCUGAACGGGUGGUAUCCUACAGAGUCAUUCCAUUCUGCCCACGCGCGAAACAACUAAUUUCAGCAGGAAGGAGUCACUUGAGGAACGCACCAAGGAAUGGACGGGUCCCAUGGGACACCACUGUAGGACGAUCACAGGAGUGGAAACUAUGUCCAAGACAUCAUCUGAUGUUGGAAGAUAAUUCCAUUAUACAGGUUGCACAGUGUCCACAUCGUAGGGCUAUGGUGAUUGUUCACGUCUGGAUCGACUACAGAAAUAUUCUUAGCAUUUUUCCUUUGCUGGACUCGCUUUCUAACUUGGAUUUUAAUGGCUAACUGAGUUCUGUAGACAUCCAUUGGCUCUUGAUCAGAAUUCCAGGGCUGCCAUCCAAUGGCUUGCCACUUAGGUUCAGCAGGGUAAUGGGCCUGUUCAUGGCUGGGGGAACAACUGCUACUAAUGAAGCACCAGUUCUCCACACUGAUAUGACUGCCACCCCAGAGGAAGCCUCAUUGCCGCUCCGGGACCAAAGUUGAACAAAGUCCAGUCAAAUCGAUCAGAUCUUAACAAC